rnacentral:rRNA from 1 species
ACACGACUACAUUAGAUACCCGUGUAGUCCUAGCCGUAAACGAUACUCGCUAGGUGUCGGCCACGGUGCGACCGUUGUCGGUGCCGUAGGGAAGCCGUGAAGCGAGCCACCUGGGAAGUACGGCCGCAAGGCUAGAAACUUAAAGGAAUUGGCGGGGAGCACAACAACGGGUGGAGCUUGCGGUUUAAUUGGAUUCAACGCCGGAAAUCUUACCGGGACCGACAGCAACAUGAAGGCCAAGCUGAAGACUUUGCCGGAUUAGCUG